UACGAAGGGGACUAGCGUUGUUCGGAAUCACUGGGCGUAAAGGGCGCGUAGGCGGUUCGUACAGUCAGACGUGAAAUUCCUGGGCUCAACCUGGGGGCUGCGUUUGAUACGUGCGGACUUGAGUGCGGAAGAGGGUCGUGGAAUUCCCAGUGUAGAGGUGAAAUUCGUAGAUAUUGGGAAGAACACCGGUGGCGAAGGCGGCGACCUGGACCGGCAUUGACGCUGAUGAGCGAAAGCUAGGGGAGCAAACGGG
rnacentral:rRNA from 1 species